rnacentral:rRNA from 1 species
ACGGGGGGUGCAAGCGUUACUCGGAAUCACUGGGCGUAAAGAGCAUGUAGGCGGUUGAGUAAGUUUGGGGUGAAAUCCUACGGCUCAACUGUAGAACUGCCUUGGAAACUGCUAAACUAGAAUGCGGGAGAGGGAGAUGGAAUUUCUGGUGUAGGGGUGAAAUCCGUAGAGAUCAGGAGGAAUACCGAUGGCGAAGGCGAUCUACUGGAACAUUAUUGACGCUGAGAUGCGAAAGCGUGGGGAGCAAACAG